AGCAGCGCAUCGGACAAUGAGAUUAACCAGCACGCCAUCCGCUGGUUCAACCCGGCCUCUGACCGCGGAGGUGGCCGCAAAGAACGUGCCAUGGCCAGAGAUGCAUUAACCAUGGAAUGAACGCAUCAGCCAUCCCACACUCUUCCAUGAUAGUUUGUUGGACGUUAUGUGACGGUUGUUCCAACAGUUGUUCAAGACAGAAAUUAGCUGUAGAAAUGUGUUUAUUAGACUGAUUUUUAGUUUGGCAAUUAUCUACUUUGUUUUAAGUUUCUGUCCUGUCUUUUUUAUUUUAGACAUUUUAAAAUAAAAUUUUAAAAUGUGUAUUUUAAAUAAAA